rnacentral:rRNA from 1 species
CUGACCUCAAAUCAAGUA